CUCUCGGCUUUACGUGACAUUCUCUAACUAACCCCGUCAGAUCCGGAAGGAAGCAGCGGUCCGUUCUGAGAAUGGGCCGUGAAUUACCGGGAGGUU
rnacentral:SRP_RNA from 1 species